ACUCUGCGGGAGGCAGCAGUGGGGAAUAUUGGACAAUGGGCGCAAGCCUGAUCCAGCCAUGCCGCGUGAGUGAUGAAGGCCCUAGGGUUGUAAAGCUCUUUCACCGGUGAAGAUAAUGACGGUAACCGGAGAAGAAGCCCCGGCUAACUUCGUGCCAGCAGCCGCGGUAAUACGAAGGGGGCUAGCGUUGUUCGGAUUUACUGGGCGUAAAGCGCACGUAGGCGGACUAUUAAGUCAGGGGUGAAAUCCCGGGGCUCAACCCCGGAACUGCCUUUGAUACUGGUAGUCUUGAGUUCGAGAGAGGUGAGUGGAAUUCCGAGUGUAGAGGUGAAAUUCGUAGAUAUUCGGAGGAACACCAGUGGCGAAGGCGGCUCACUGGCUCGAUACUGACGCUGAGGUGCGAAAGCGUGGGGAGCAAACAGGAUUAGAAACCCCAGUAGUCCCAUGA
rnacentral:rRNA from 1 species